ACAGAAAUCCAGAGACUGCCCCAUUUCUUCACUUCAGCUCCAGGAUUUGACUUCUUAAUGGUUAAAACUGAAAACGCAUUCCCCUGACCGUGCAUCCCCUCAAACUGUGAUCGGUUCACAAUAGGCUCCUAAGGCACAAUCGGCAAUUAAACCGUGCACUUAACCUUUGCACAGAGCACUCCAUUUUCUUUUGUUGGGGAAAUGAAGCUUUUGAGACGUCUGAUCAAUUCUGCAAAUUAGCUUUUCAAAACCUGAGCACACAGUUUCUGCUGUGGAUCUGCUACAUCGCGUCCAGGAGCUGGUCUUGGGGACAGGAACACAUUUCUGCACUUUGGUUUUCCUCCAUGGCGUGUCAAGCUUUGGUUGUAGUAUCCAAGAAUUAUCUGAGAGGAGUCUGGGGCAUUUCAUCAAAUUCCUGAGAUGCUGAUGAGAAGACAUUGGCGUGCAAAUGGCUAACCGUGCAGGACGCCAUAUUGUUCGGCUGGACAGGUUAGACCAUGAGGUGA